rnacentral:rRNA from 1 species
AGGGAGGCGAGAUGGCGACAUGGAGCAAAUCCCAAAAACAGCGCCCCAGUUCGGAUUGCAGGCUGCAACCCGCCUGCAUGAAGCCGGAAUCGCUAGUAAUCGCGGAUCAGAAUGCCGCGGUGAAUACGUUCCCGGGUCUUGUACACACCGCCCGUCACACCAUGGGAGCCGGGAAUGCCCGAAGUCAGUGGCCCAACCGCAAGGGGGGAGCUGCCGAAGGCAGGCCUGGUGACUGGGGUGAAGUCGUAACAAGGUAAC